AACGAAGGCUGGCGGCAUGCCUAACACAUGCAAGUCGAACGAGACCUUCGGGUCUAGUGGCGCACGGGUGCGUAACGCGUGGGAACCUGCCCUUAGGUUCGGAAUAACUCCCCGAAAGGGGUGCUAAUACCGGAUAAUGUCUUCGGACCAAAGAUUUAUCGCCUUUGGAUGGGCCCGCGUUGGAUUAGCUAGUUGGUAGGGUAAAAGCCUACCAAGGCGACGAUCCAUAGCUGGUCUGAGAGGAUGAUCAGCCACACUGGGACUGAGACACGGCCCAGACUCCUACGGGAGGCAGCAGUGGGGAAUAUUGGACAAUGGGCGAAAGCCUGAUCCAGCAAUGCCGCGUGAGUGAUGAAGGCCUUAGGGUUGUAAAGCUCUUUUACCCGGGAUGAUAAUGACAGUACCGGGAGAAUAAGCACCGGCUAACUCCGUGC
rnacentral:rRNA from 1 species